AUUGAACGCUGGCGGCAGGCCUAACACAUGCAAGUCGAACGAGUGGCGGACGGGUGAGUAAUGUCUGGGAAACUGCCUGAUGGAGGGGGAUAACAACUGGAAACGGUAGCUCAUACCGCAUACCCUCAGAUGUGCCCAGAUGGGAUUAGCUAGUAGGUGGGGUAACGCCUCACCUAGGCGACGAUCCCUAGCUGGUCUGAGAGGAUGACCAGCCACACUGGAACUGAGACACGGUCCAGACUCCUACGGGAGUCAGCAGUGGGGAAUAUUGCACAAUGGGCGCAAGCCUGAUGCAGCCAUGCCGCGUGUAUGAAGAAGGCCUUCGGGUUGUAAAGUACUUUCAGCGGGGAGGCGUUACCCGCAGAAGAAGCACCGGCUAACUCCGUGCCAGCAGCCGCGGUAAUUC
rnacentral:rRNA from 1 species